ACGUACGACCACAGGCAGUAGAGAACUCGGGAUCCCGUCCGCUCUCCCAUCGAUAAGCUACUGACCGCAGGAUUAGUACUCAGGUCGGUGACGACUGGGGAAUCCCCUGUGUUGUACGUU
rfam:Thielavia terrestris NRRL 8126 chromosome 5, complete sequence.